UGGUCCAAAGCUAUCUGGUUA
rnacentral:piRNA from 1 species